UGGAGGAUGAUUGAGGUACAUCAUAUACACGCAUACACAUCAUACCUACACUUUGGUUUUGUGUUUGUGAAGCCUACUAUUUUGUCUUAGUAUGUGUCCUUGUGCUUGUGCAAUCCAAUCCAGGUGGAAAUGCUGAAAAAGGACCUGGAUCAUCAACAGAUAGAGGAGCUGAUGUCUGCCACAUUCUCCAAGCGCAGAAAGGAGAUCGUAGGGGAUCAACCUCUCAUCGGGGAUGUCAUGACCAGAUGGCCGGCCAUGUUCUGUGAGAGACAGGUUCGGGCGGAGUUCAAAAGAAUCGUAAACACAGACCUUCUUGAGUCAUUCCUCAACGGACUUGAUGACCUGGUACCAAGACUGCUUGAAGUGUACGAAGCUGUGACCAAGUCGGGGGAAGAAGCCUGCACUGAAAGCCAUUUUAGACUGUGUGAAGAAAGAUAACACAAACGAAAGGAGAAGGACUGCUGCUCUACUGGGUCUGCCACACUACCUAUCCGAAGACCCAUCCGACAUCAUUAGGAUGUGUGAUGCCCAUGGUGAGAGUCUGGCUGCAGCCAUGAAGGGGAUGCAACUUGGCCUACUGAUAGGCUAUGAAGGUGACAACCAGGAUGCCUUUCCAGAGGUCUUCGAUGUGGCAGUUGUGGUUGAAGAAAACAUUGUGCUACACAACUUCAAGGAUGUGCCAUCCAGCUUCA